rnacentral:rRNA from 1 species
AUUGAACGCUGGCGGCAGGCUUAACACAUGCAAGUCGAGCGGUAGCGCAGUGGAGCUUGCUCCCUGGGUGACGAGCGGCGGACGGGUGAGUAAUGUCUGGGAAACUGCCUGAUGUAGGGGGAUAACUACUGGAAACGGUAGCGAAUACCGCAUAACGUCGCAAGACCAAAGAGGGGGACCUUCUGGCCUCUUGCCAUCAUAUGUGCCCAGAUGGGAUUAGCUAGUAGGUGGGGUAAUGGCUCACCUAGGCGACGAUCCCUAGCUGGUCUGAGAGGAUGACCAGCCACACUGGAACUGAGACACGGUCCAGACUCCUACGGGAGGCAGCAGUGGGGAAUAUUGCACAAUGGGCGCAAGCCUGAUGCAGCCAUGCCGCGUGUGUGAAGAAGGCCUUCGGGUUGUAAAGCACUUUCAGCGAGGAGGAAGGUGGUGAGCUUAAUACGUUCAUCAAUUGACGUUACUCGAAGAAGAAGCACCGGCUAACUCCGUG